rnacentral:rRNA from 1 species
CCUACGGGAGGCAGCAGUGAGGAAUAUUGGUCCAUGGCCGGGAGGCUGAACCAGCCAAGUCGCGUGAGGGAAGACGGCCCUACGGGUUGUAAACCUCUUUUGUCAGGGAGCAAGGUGUAGGGCGGGACCUGCUGUGAGAGUACCUGAAGAAAAAGCAUCGGCUAACUCCGUGCCAGCAGCCGCGGUAAUACGGAGGAUGCGAGCGUUCGCCGGAUUUAUGGGGUUUAAAGGGUGCGCAGGCGAGGGCAAAAGUCAGCGGUAAAAUCGCGGGGCUCAACCCCGCUCCGCCGUUGAAACUGGGGCCCUUGAGUGCGCGAAGGGUAGGCGGAAUGCGUGGUGUAGCGGUG